rnacentral:lncRNA from 1 species
GGGAAAGCCACGGAUCGAUUCUGCGCCUCCUUCCAUAUGACGUAACGGCCAGAAAAUCAAGGGCGACAAUCGCGAUUUUUCAUAGAGGGCGACACUAUCGCGCCAUCGCGGCAAUUUGUUUACAUCGUGUACGUGUGAUUUUUCGAGAAAUUUAUCAUUAAAGACAAUUAAACUUGUGUCAUUUCAUCAUCAAUUAGUUAUAUAGGUAAGUUUUACAGGUGACCAUGCUAUUUUUUCUUCUUAGAAGAUUUUAUUUUACAAGAAACGAACAUCUGAAAAUGGCAAGUGACGUUGUUAAUUUGGGGAUAAAAAUAUGGCGGGUGUUUUCCCCUUCUGAAAAUAACUGACACAUUUGCAUCCUAUUGGCUAUUUAAAUAUAAAAUGACCAAAAAUAGUAUCUAUGAUGAUAGGAGUCCCUAAAUAUUUGCAUAAAUACCCAUCACUCCGUGUCAAAUUGUAACUGAGGCUGCGAAAAGGAAGCACACAAAUCGACGCCAUUUUUCAACAGAUUAAGGUUUCUGAGCUCACGAAAUCCUAGUAUUAUUACUUUUAAUGGUUAGUAGAAAGAUAUUAAUACUAUCCAUAACAUGAUUUAUUGAUCUGAUCGGGUUAUGGCUACAUGUUUGCCUCUUUUCGAUUCUUAAAUCCAGUAAAUUUCCGUAGACCACAUGUAAAUAAACGCCCCUUUUCCAGCGUGAGACUUCAAUUUGAAUAAAACUUCAAUUUUGGCAGGUCAAUGUUAGCAUUUAAAUUUUAAUUAAAGUUUUACAGUUGUGUAAUGCAUAUGUGCUGAUUUGUUUGGUUGUCUCGAAUAGUAAAAAGGUUAAUAUUUUUAUUUUUGAACCCAAAAAGUGUGACAAAAAACACAAAAAACAAACAAAAUAAAAAUAUAGGAAAAAAAAUAACUAUCCCCAGGAUAAAGGGGGUUUCCAACUAUAUGUCCCCAUUCAAAUGCAUUGAUCGUCCCCAAAAAAGGGAGAUUCCAAUCCCUGGAACCCUAUCCCUGGAUCUGCCACUGGGAACUAUGACUAUUAAAACGUAUAAAGAAUUAGAGAAUUGUUACUAAAGGAACAAGAAUAGAGAAAAUUUACCAUAAAAUAAGUUAAAAAAAAGAGCAAAUGACAUGCUAGCUGCGGAACCGUAGCUCUUAGGUCCUUAUGUUAUUUUUUGACUAUUUGCGGACCAUAGACUACUUUUUUUCUGGGACACCUUCCUAUGCAUCCCAGAAAAAAAUCAAAAUAUUCCUAGCAGCAAGCCAGAGGUCUGGUCAUAAUCAUUUUGAACUUUUGAUGUGCUAAUUUAUAUAUUGAGGAAAGAAAAAAUUAUGGACAAAAAGUAUAAAAAAAAUAGAGACCAAUGAACUAAAAGAUUAAAUGAUAAAGAAAUGCAGAAGACCCCAUCCAGACCCUUGUCUAUGUGAACAACAGUACUAUUAUUUUUGCUCAAUAUUGCAUAUGGGCAUGUAAAAUCUAUAAUACUAAAAUUACGAGGUCCAAUUUGUCAGCCGUCAUCACGUAAAAACGACGAAUCAAAUAAUUCAACUUUAUAUUUAACUAAUAUAGUACAAAAGUGUAGAUUAAAAAUUACACCACUCCAGGCCCUUUUGUUUUUGACGUAAUUAAUAUUGCCAAUAAUUAAGAAGUUCCGGUUCGAGUCCGAUACAGAUACCAAUAGUAUAUUCACCUGUUACCUAUUACCUUAUCUGUAUGUUCCGCAUCUGACAGGCUCACCACCAAACGGUGUAUUCAGGAUUAAUAUGCUAUAUACACGGUCAUAAUCACAGGGUUGACACUACUAAAUUGUCAAAUUGUUACCUAUUGUAGUAUUUUAAUCAGUAAGACUUUCAAAGAUAACAAAUCUGGACUAAAAAUAAGGCGUAUAGGUACAGUUUUCAAUUUGUUUGUGGGCAUGCAUGACAUAAAACAGCGAAUCAAAGAAUUCAACUUCAUUCAGAUGACAACUUGAAUACUAAUACUAAAAUAAGGCUUGCGCAUAGUUAUAUACUUUAAUUCAUUCACAGACCCGCGAUAUCACGGGUGUUUUCUAGUAUCUUUUAAAGAUUUCAGGUAUAUGAAAUAUUCACCAGUAGGAAAGUAUAAAUUCUGUCCCUCC